AUACUGAUACGGGACUCUUUUUGGUCUCGUAAUUGGAAGGAAUAUAAUCUAAAUCCCUUAACGAGGAACAAUUGGAGGGCAAGUCUGGUACCAGCAGCCGCGGAUCCAGCCCUGG
rnacentral:ncRNA from 1 species